CAGUAGCCACGGUAAUACGAGGGGGGCAAGCGUUGUUCGGAAUUAUUGGGCGUAAAGGGUGCGUAGGCGGUUUGACAAGUCUUAUGUGAAAUCUCUGGGCUCAACCCAGAGUCUGCAUGGGAAACUGUCGGGCUUGAGUAUGGGAGAGGUGAGUGGAAUUUCCGGUGUAGCGGUGAAAUGCGUAGAUAUCGGAAGGAACACCUGUGGCGAAAGCGGCUCACUGGACCAUAACUGACGCUGAGGCACGAAAGCUAGGGGAGCAAACAGGAUUAGAUCCCCAGUAGUCCCUGUCUCUUAUACA
rnacentral:rRNA from 1 species